rnacentral:sRNA from 1 species
CCUCUUUGCUGCUAGGAAAAAUAUCUCCCUGGACGGGGCGUUUCUACUCACUGCUGGAUCCUUCUUAUGCUAAGAACAACAUCCCCAUCAUUGCUUCUGUGUCUGAGCAUCAGCCCACAACCUGGUCCUCAUACUAUUUUGACCUGCAGCUCCUCGUCUUCAUGUUUCCAGUUGGCCUCUAUUACUGCUUUAGCAACCUGUCUGAUGCCCGGAUUUUUAUCAUCAUGUAUGGUGUGACCAGCAUGUACUUUUCAGCUGUAAUGGUGCGUCUAAUGCUAGUGUUGGCACCUGUUAUGUGCAUUCUCUCUGGCAUUGGAGUCUCCCAGGUGCUGUCCACAUACAUGAAGAAUCUGGACAUAAGUCGUCCAGACAAGAAGAGCAAGAAGCAACAGGAUUCCACCUACCCUAUUAAGAAUGAAGUGGCAAGUGGGAUGAUACUGGUCAUGGCUUUCUUUCUCAUCACCUACACCUUUCAUUCAACCUGGGUGACCAGUGAGGCCUACUCUUCUCCGUCCAUUGUACUAUCUGCCCGUGGUGGGGAUGGCAGUAGGAUCAUAUUUGAUGACUUCCGAGAAGCAUAUU